GCGAGGUGACGAUAGAAAUUCAUAAGUCUGUCAAUCCACUGAUUUACUGAUGUUUACUAUGAAUCUCUACAGGUUCUGAUCGU